GAACGCGAAGAACCUUACCAGAUCUUGACAUCCUACGAAUGCCUGUGAGAACAGGCAGUGCCUUCGGGAACGUAGAGACAGGUGGUGCAUGGCUGUCGACAGCUCGUGUCGUGAGAUGUUGGGUUAAGUCCCGCAACGAGCGCAACCCCUAUCGCUAGUUGCCAUCAUUAAGUUGGGGACUCUAGCGAGACUGCCUGCGAAGAGCAGGAGGAAGGUGGGGAUGACGUCAAGUCAUCAUGCCCCUUAUGAUCUGGGCUACACACGUGCUACAAUGGCCGGUACAAAGAGCUGCAAAACGGUAACGUUUAGCCAAUCUUUAAAGCCGGUCCAAGUUCGGAUUGAAGUCUGCAACUCGACUUCAUGAAGCCGGAAUCGCUAGUAAUCGCAGAUCAGCAAUGCUGCGGUGAAUACGUUCUCGGGUCUUGUACACACC
rnacentral:rRNA from 1 species